rnacentral:rRNA from 1 species
UUGAACGCUGGCGGCAGGCCUAACACAUGCCAGUCGAACGGUAACAGGAAGAAGCUUGUUUCUUUGCUGACGAGUGGCGGACGGGUGAGUAAUGUCUGGGAAACUGCCUGAUGGAGGGGGAUAACUACUGGAAACGGUAGCUAAUACCGCAUAACGUCGCAAGACCAAAGAGGGGGACCUUCGGGCCUCUUGCCAUCGGAUGUGCCCAGAUGGGAUUAGCUAGUAGGUGGGGUAACGGCUCACCUAGGCGACGAUCCCUAGCUGGUCUGAGAGGAUGACCAGCCACACUGGAACUGAGACACGGUCCAGACUCCUACGGGAGGCAGCAGUGGGGAAUAUUGCACAAUGGGCGCAAGCCUGAUGCAGCCAUGCCGCGUGUAUGAAGAAGGCCUUCGGGUUGUAAAGUACUUUCAGCGGGGAGGAAGGGAGUAAAGUUAAUACCUUUGCUCAUUGACGUUACCCGCAGAAGAAGCACCGGCUAACUCCGUG